GUGCCAGCCGCCGCGGUAAUACGUAGGUGGCAAGCGUUGUCCGGAUUUAUUGGGCGUAAAGCGAACGCAGGCGGGAAGAUAAGUCAGCUGUGAAAGCCCCCAGCUUAACUGGGGAACUGCAGCUGAAACUAUGUUUCUUGAGUGCAGAAGAGGAGAGUGGAACUCUACGUGUAGCGGUGAAAUGCGUAGAGAUGUGGAGGAAUACCGGUGGCGAAGGCGGCCUUCUGGACAGAUACUGACGCUGAGAUGCGAAAGCGUGGGGAGCAAACAGGAUUAGAUACCCUGGUAGUCCACGCUGUAAACGAUGUCGAUUUGGAGUUUGUUGCCUAGAGUGAUGGGCUCCGAAGCUAACGCGAUAAAUCGACCGCCUGGGGAGUACGGCCGCAAGGUUAAAACUUAAAGAAAUUGACGG
rnacentral:rRNA from 1 species